UUCAAAGUAUUACUGCUCAAUCUUUUGAAGCUAAUUUCUUGGCAGAUGUAGCGACUUUCUACAAAAAAGAAUUCAAUUGGCUUCACCAAUUUGAGUCGGCGUGCAAUUGCCGUUGCUAAAGUCUACUUUUUAAUUUGCAACGGCAAAACUUGACCGUCGCAAUUGUGUAAAAGUUAUGCAACCGUAUUAAUUUCCGUUGCCACUUGUGGUCGCCAACCCCUACUGUUUACUUCGGCAAGAAUUUGCCGUCGCAAGGUAAUAACAAUUGGCGACUGCAAAAAAAAUGCUGUCGCGUUAUCCUAAUUAACUCGGCUCCGCCCUAUUUCUUCUUUCAGUUCUUUGAGCCCAUAACUCCAUCUCGAUCUGAUACCCCCCGAUGAUUACCCAGAUCUCCUCCUCUUUCCAUCACCUCCUUGAGCUGUUCUCCUCUCUAGAUCUACCAAAUUCAGCAGAAUACAACCGACGACUAAAUGAGCCUAUUUAGGUCAACUCCAUCGAGUUUAUCAGGAGAUCUACCAACCAGUCGUUCCUCAAGACGAGCUUGAGUCCACUUUAUCCAAGGCUAUUUACAAUCUAGAGACGUCGAUGAUUAAGAAGAAGAACGACUGAGAGCUAGAGAGAGAGAGAGAGAGAGAGAGAGAUAGCGUUUGUUUGUUUGGUUUGUACGAAUAGAUAGACGGAUCAAAGGGAAAUUCCCUGCUCAUCAUCUGAAUACGGGGUCAACUGGGGAAGUUUGAGUAUCUUAGAGGCAAGGGUUGCAAAUUUGUAGUACGGGGUCAAUUGGGUUUUGAAUAUUGUUAUGCGUGUAAUUGGGUUUUGA
rnacentral:lncRNA from 1 species